CUCUCUGGGCUCUCUCUCUCUCUCUGGGCUCUCUGGGCUCUCUUUCUAGCAGUCCCUGCCAGCCCAUUGCGGUACUUCAACCUAGGACCCGACUCUUUCAUUUCACGUGUCUUCAGAAAUUCCAUCGCAGUGGAUAAUAUGGAUGUAAACUAGCCCUACCUCUCCUCUGUCUCUCUCUAGCUGAGUCCAUGACAGAGGGCUGGGGGUUGAAGUGGUGGUGGGGUUAAUCUCUUACAGCAGAGUGAAUGUCUUGUAUUUAUUCAUGUGUGUACAUUUUUAUUAGUAGUAAUUUAUUUAUUUGUAUAUCCCUGCGGCGCGGGUCCGAAUGUGUGUUUUUUUGGCUUGUGGCGGCGGGGUCCAGAUCCCAUCUGUUCUGGAUGGGAGAGAGAUACACAAACUGAAGAACAAAACACUCUAAAUGUCUUCCUAUAGGGGUUACUACUACUGCCUAUGUUUUAGCCUCAUACCUCCAUAUCUCCACCGCAUCCUCUCUCUCUCUCUCUCCCUUUCUUCCCCGUCUGACACUAACAGAAUACUGUUCAGUUCUGCUCCACUGCCCCAGUGAUAGUGAUGGCUGCUCCACUGCCCCAGUGAUAGUGAUGGCUGCUCCACUGCCCCAGUGAUAGUGAUGGCUGUCCCACUGCCCAGUGCCCAGUGAUAGUGAUGGCUGCUCCACUGCCCCAUGAUAGUGAUGGCUGCUCCACUGCCCCAGUGAUAGUGAUGGCUGCUCCACUGCCCCAGUGAUAGUGAUGGCUGCUCCACUGCCCCAGUGAUAGUGAUGGCUGUCCCACUGCCCAGUGCCCAGUGAUAGUGAUGGCUGCUCCACUGCCCAGUGAUAGUGAUGGCUGCUCCACUGCUCCAGUGAUAGUGAUGGCUGCUCCACUGCCCCAGUGAUAGUGAUGGCUGCUCCACUGCCCCAGUGAUAGUGAUGGCUACUCCACUGCCCCAGUGAUAGUGAUGGCUGCUCCACUGCCCAGUGAUAAUGAUAGCUGCUCCACUGCCCAGUGAUAGUGAUGGCUGCUCCACUGCCCCAGUGAUAGUGAUGGCUGCUCCACUGGCCAGCGACAGUGAUAGCUGUCCUGUCUUCUUCUCUACUUCAUAGCAUUCCAUGUUGGUGACGGACCGCUGUGUUCUGUCUACUGGACCAAGCUCUAGUUCUAGAAGCACUAACCCGCUCUGGAGAGCGAGAGUGGGGUGUUCCAAAUGGCAUCAUUUUCCCUCUAUAGUGUACCACUUUUAACCUGUGCCCCUAUGCACUGUAUAGGAAACAGGGUGUCAUUUGGGACAUACACAUGGGGGUCUUAAUGACGUCCGUUUGAUGUUUUCUGUCAUCAACUCUGGUGAGGGACUAAAACAGCUGAUAUAGGGACUAAAACAGCUGAUAUAGGGACUAAAACAGCUGAUAUAGGGUCUAAAACAGAUGAUAUAGGGACUAAAACAGCUGAUAUAGGGACUAAAACAGCUGAUAUAUGGACUAAAACAGCUGAUAUAGGGACUAAAACAGCUGAUAUAGGGACUAAAACAGCUGAUAUAGGGCCUAAAACAGCUGAUAUAGGGACUAAAACAGCUGAUAUAGGGUCUAAAACAGCUGAUAUAGGGCCUAAAACAGCUGAUAUAUGGACUAAAACAGCUGAUAUAUGGACUAAAACAGAUGAUAUAGG
rnacentral:lncRNA from 1 species